rnacentral:rRNA from 1 species
UAGGGAAUCUUCCGCAAUGGGCGAAAGCCUGACGGAGCAACGCCGCGCGAGUGAUGAAGGUCCUCGGAUCGUAAAACUCUGUUAUUAGGGAAGAACAAAUGUGUAAGUAACUAUGCACGUCUUGACGGUACCUAAUCAGAAAGCCCCGGCUAACUACGUGCCAGCAGCCGCGGUAAUACGUAGGUGGCAAGCGUUAUCCGGAAUUAUUGGGCGUAAAGCGCGCGUAGGCGGUUUUUUAAGUCUGAUGUAAAAGCCCCCGGCUCAACCGUGGAGGGUCAUUGGAAACUGGAAAACUUGAGUGCAGAAGAGGAAAGUGGAAUUCCAUGUGUAGCGGUGAAAUGCGCAGAGAUAUGGAGGAACACCAGUGGCGAGGGCGACUUUCUGGUCUGUAACUGACGCUGAUGUGCGAAAGCGUGGGGAUCAAACAGG